rnacentral:rRNA from 1 species
UACGUAGGGGGCAAGCGUUGUCCGGAAUCAUUGGGCGUAAAGAGCGCGUAGGCGGCCCAGUAAGUCCGCUCUGAAAGUCAGGGGCUCAACCCCUGAAUGCGGGUGGAUACUGCUGGGCUAGAGUCCGGAAGAGGCGAGUGGAAUUCCUGGUGUAGCGGUGAAAUGCGCAGAUAUCAGGAGGAACACCGAUGGCGAAGGCAGCUCGCUGGGACGGUACUGACGCUGAGGAGCGAAAGCGUGGGGAGCGAACAGG